AUGAGCUCCACCCCUGACCCCGAUACUCCUCCCAGGGUGGAGGAGAGGAGGAUCGCCUACUCCAAGGAGUCCCUGCUCUCUGUUCGUGAGGCCUGCCGCGACAAGCUGCCCGCUGGCAUCCACGCAUGCAAGAGGGAGGUCGAAGCGGCAUCGCUCAUGUGGGACUCGGAACCGCGGGGUGGGUCGGAGCCACCUCGAACGCGUGCAGGAUGCAAAUCGAAGAAGAUAGACAAGAUCUGCACCAGGUUUUUCAGCGCCGGCGACUGCCCCUUCGGCGAGGACUGCCGUUUCCUCCAUCGCGUUCCCAGCGGCCACCAGGAACCCGACCAGGCCGUUGCCAAGAAGAUGAGCAAGCUGGACCUAGGCGGCGACCCGGCACCAGCCACCGUCAAGACUCGGCUCUGCAAGAACCACGGCGCGCCGGAGGGGUGCAAGUGGGGGGAGAGGUGCCACUUCGCGCACGGCGACGGCGAGCUCGGAAAGCCCAUGGGACCCGGGAGCAGCUUCAAGACCAGGCUGUGCGUGAGCUUCGUUGCCGGCGGGUCGUGCGCCUUCGCCGGCAGGUGCCACUUCGCCCAUGGCGACGACGAGCUGCGCAGGCCAGACGCGUCUUGA
rnacentral:rRNA from 1 species